rnacentral:rRNA from 1 species
GACGAACGCUGGCGGCGUGCUUAACACAUGCAAGUCGAACGAUGAACCGGAGCUUGCUCUGGGGAUUAGUGGCGAACGGGUGAGUAACACGUGGGCAACCUGCCCCAGACACCGGGAUAACCAUUCGAAAGGAUGGCUAAUACCGGAUGCGACCACUUCGGGCAUCCGCUGGUGGUGGAAAGGACUGUGGUCUGGGAUGGGCCCGCGGCCUAUCAGCUUGUUGGUGGGGUAAUGGCCUACCAAGGCGACGACGGGUAGCCGGCCUGAGAGGGCGACCGGCCACACUGGGACUGAGACACGGCCCAGACUCCUACGGGAGGCAGCAGUGGGGAAUAUUGCGCAAUGGGCGAAAGCCUGACGCAGCGACGCCGCGUGAGGGACGAAGGUCUUCGGAUUGUAAACCUCUUUCAGCAGGGAUGAAGCGAAAGUGGCAGUACCUGCAGAAGAAGCACCGGCUAACUACGUGCCAGCCGCCGCGGUAAAAC